UCUCUAGGGUUUAUCGAGGGGUUUACAGGAGAAAACAUCGAAAAAAAUUCCGACUCUUGCAAGCAAAGAAGCUGUUGAUGAACAACAAAACCCACUCGACAAAUUUUAGGGCACUUUAUCUUUUCUCUUUCUCUUUCUCUUCCUCUUCCUCUUUUAUAAUCAAGAUAGUGAAAUGGAAGCAAGAAUCCAACGUUUCAGCUCAUUACAGUUGCUUCUAUAGGAAAAGAUCUAAAGACCAUGCUUCUCUUUCUCCUUAUGCCUUGUGUUUUCCAGAAAUUUGUGUAGAGAGAGAAGUCCAAGCUUUUAUUGAAAUG